rfam:Marine metagenome 1096626726490, whole genome shotgun sequence.
GGGUGGAUUGAAGUCUGGAUACUGUAGGGGCCAACUCCAGUUCGGGGUUGGUCCUGUC